GCGGCGUGCUUAACACAUGCAAGUCGAACGAAGCACUUUAACCUGAUUCUUCGGAUGAAGGUUUUUGUGACUGAGUGGCGGACGGGUGAGUAACGCGUGGGUAACCUGCCUCAUACGGGGGGAUAACAGUUAAAAAUGACUGCUAAUACCGCAUAACACCACGGAGCCGCGUGGCUCAGUGGGAAAAACUCCGGUGGUAUGAGAUGGACCCGCGUCUGAUUAGGUAGUUGGGGGGGUAACGGCCUACCAAGCCAACGAUCAGUAGCCGACCUGAGAGGGUGACCGGCCACAUUGGGACUGAGACACGGCCCAAACUCCUACGGGAGGCAGCAGUGGGGAAUAUUGCACAAUGGGGGAAACCCUGAUGCAGCGACGCCGCGUGAGCGAAGAAGUAUUUCGGUAUGUAAAGCUCUAUCAGCAGGGAAGAAAAUGACGGUACCUGACUAAGAAGCACCGGCUAAAUACGUGCCAGCAGCCGCGGUAAUACGUAUGGUGCAAGCGUUAUCCGGAUUUACUGGGUGUAAAGGGAGCGUAGACGGCUGUGUAAGUCUGAAGUGAAAGCCCGGGGCUCAACCCCGGGACUGCUUUGGAAACUAUGCAGCUAGAGUGUCGGAGAGGUAAGUGGAAUUCCCAGUGUAGCGGUGAAAUGCGUAGAUAUUGGGAGGAACACCAGUGGCGAAGGCGGCUUACUGGACGAUGACUGACGUUGAGGCUCGAAAGCGUGGGGAGCAAACAAGAUUAGAUACCCUGGUAGUCCACGCCGUAAACGACAUCUAAAGGGUGUCGGGGAGCAAAGCUCUUCGGUGCCGCAGCAAACGCAAUAAGUAGUCCCACCUGGGGAGUACGUUCGCAAGAAUGAAACUCAAAGGAAUUGACGGGGACCCGCACAAGCGGUGGAGCAUGUGGUUUAAUUCGAAGCAACGCGAAGAACCUUACUUGCUCUUGACAUCCCGGUGACCGGCAUGUAAUGAUGCCUUUUCUUCGGAACACCGGUGACAGGAGGCGCAUGGUUGUCGUCAGCUCGUGUCGUGAGAUGUUGGGUUAAGUCCCGCAACGAGCGCAACCCUUAUCUUCAGUAGCCAGCAAUUCGGAUGGGCACUCUGGAGAGACUGCCAGGGAUAACCUGGAGGAAGGUGGGGAUGACGUCAAAUCAUCAUGCCCCUUAUGAGCAGGGCUACACACGUGCUACAAUGGCGUAAACAAAGGGAAGCGAGCUUGCGAGGGUAAGCAAAUCUCAAAAAUAACGUCUCAGUUCGGAUUGUAGUCUGCAACUCGACUACAUGAAGCUGGAAUCGCUAGUAAUCGCGAAUCAGCAUGUCGCGGUGAAUACGUUCCCGGGUCUUGUACUCACC
rnacentral:rRNA from 1 species